UAUUAUUAUAUUUUUUAUAUAAUCUAAUUUUUAUAAAAUAAAUUUUAAUUUCCAUAUAAAUAUAACUAAAUAUGAAAUUUGAUAUGAAGCCAAGCUCAAAAUUUGAAUAUCUUAUAUAAUUUUAAUUUAAAUAAGAUAAAAAGAUACCUUACAGGGGCAUAACUAUUCAAAAACGUACCGAUCCUGAAACGCGUGAAUAUGAUUUGGAGCCUUAUCCUUUGGACAAAAAUUUUUUCUCCUAUAACCAGGCAAAGUCAUUGACUUGCGGGUUAAAAUUGAUCAAGAUAACUUGGUAUAGCGAAGUAUUAUCCACUUAUCUGCAUCCCAAUCAUCUGACCAUCAAUAGAUGCAUCGGAUCAUGCGACGUAGGAUAUACUGAUGUUUCUACGGACGAGAUAUUUAAUAUUCAUAGUUUUUCUGACUCAAGGAGAAUUUAUUAAAUAUCAAACUCUCUCCAACAAAGUUAAAGGGAAAAUACAAGUGAAAUCAAUUCCAAGGGCUUGCUGUGUGGUCGUAGAAUACAAAUUUAUAGAUACUGUUUGGCAGGAUAGCGAUAAUAAAAAUAUUUUCAAUAAGAUAAGAAUGGUUAAUGCUUCGGCUAAAAAGUGUGCUUGUCUUUAAAAUUAAAAAAAAAAAAAAUUACAAUUUAUUGGGAAACUAUACAUAAGAUACAAUUAUUUUACAUUAAUUUUUUACACGGUUUUAUAUAUAUUUUCUUUUUUAAAAAAAUGUUUAAAUAUUAAAAACU